rnacentral:tRNA from 2 species
CAUUGAAUGGCUGAAGUUUAAGCAAUGGUCUCUUAAACCAAACUAUAGUGAAAUCACUUUCAAUGG